rnacentral:tRNA from 1 species
GUAGGGGUGGCCGAGCAGGUGGCAGGUUGUAGCCCUGUUCACGGGGCACAGCCCCCCCCCACA